CCUACGGGCGGCAGCAGUGAGGAAUAUUGGUCAAUGGGCGCGAGCCUGAACCAGCCAAGUCGCGUGAGGGAAGACGGUCCUAUGGAUUGUAAACCUCUUUUGUCGGGGAGCAAAAGACGCCACGCGUGGCGUUCCGAGCGUACCCGAAGAAAAAGCAUCGGCUAACUCCGUGCCAGCAGCCGCGGUAAUACGGAGGAUGCGAGCGUUAUCCGGGUUUAGUGGGUUUAAAGGGUGCGCAGGCGGAAGAUGAAGUCAGCGGUAAAAGUGAGAGGCUCAACCUCUUCGAGCUGUUGAAACUGGUUAUCUUGAGUGCGUGAGAAGUAUGCGGAAUGCGUGGUGUAGCGGUGAAAUGCAUAGAUAUCACGCAGAACUCCGAUUGCGAAGGCAGCAUACCGGCGCUCAACUGACGCUCAUGCACGAAAGUGUGGGGAGCGAACAGGAUUAGAUACCCGGGUAGUC
rnacentral:rRNA from 1 species